rnacentral:rRNA from 1 species
CCUACGGGAUGCAGCAGUGGGGAAUAUUGGACAAUGGGCGAAAGCCUGAUCCAGCCAUGCCGCGUGUGUGAAGAAGGCCUUCGGGUUGUAAAGCACUUUCAGUGGGGAAGAAAGCCUUGGGGCUAAUACCCUCGAGGAAGGACAUCACCCACAGAAGAAGCACCGGCUAACUCCGUGCCAGCAGCCGCGGUAAUACGGAGGGUGCGAGCGUUAAUCGGAAUUACUGGGCGUAAAGCGCGCGUAGGCGGUCUGAUAAGCCGGUUGUGAAAGCCCCGGGCUCAACCUGGGAACGGCAUCCGGAACUGUCAGGCUAGAGUGCAGGAGAGGAAGGUAGAAUUCCCGGUGUAGCGGUGAAAUGCGUAGAGAUCGGGAGGAAUACCAGUGGAGAAGGCGGCCUUCUGGACUGACACUGACGCUGAGGUGCGAAAGCGUGGGUAGCAAACAGGAUUAGAUACCCCGGUAGUC